rnacentral:tRNA from 1 species
GGAGUAGGUAUAGCUCAGUGGUUGAGUGCAUGUUUCACAUAUAUGUGAUGUCCCAGGUUCAAUCCCUGGUACCUCCU